GUGCUCGCUUUGGCGCACAUAUACUAAAAUUGAAAUGACACAGAGAAGAUUAGCAUGGCCCCUGUGCA
rnacentral:snRNA from 1 species